rnacentral:rRNA from 1 species
UUGAACGCUGGCGGCAUGCCUUACACAUGCAAGUCGAACGGCAGCACAGGAGAGCUUGCUCUCUGGGUGGCGAGUGGCGGACGGGUGAGGAAUACAUCGGAAUCUACUUUUUCGUGGGGGAUAACGUAGGGAAACUUACGCUAAUACCGCAUACGACCUACGGGUGAAAGCAGGGGACCUUCGGGCCUUGCGCGGAUGAAUGAGCCGAUGUCGGAUUAGCUAGUUGGCGGGGUAAAGGCCCACCAAGGCGACGAUCCGUAGCUGGUCUGAGAGGAUGAGCAGCCACACUGGAACUGAGACACGGUCCAGACUCCUACGGGAGGCAGCAGUGGGGAAUAUUGGACAAUGGGCGCAAGCCUGAUCCAGCCAUAACGCGUGGGUGAAGAAGGCCUUCGGGUUGUAAAGCCCUUUGUUGGGAAAGAAAAGCAGCAGGUUAAUACCCCGCUGUUCUGACGGUACCCAAAGAAUAAGCACCGGCUAACUUCGUGCCAGCCGCCGCAGUAAAAC